rnacentral:rRNA from 1 species
CCCUUAGACACUCUAGGCGGCACGCGCGCUACAAUGGGUGGAAGAACGUGUUACUGCCUCCGAAAGGAGGGGUGAAUCACGAAUUCUUGCCCGUGAAUGGGAUAGUUUGUUGCAAUUUUCGGACUUGAACUAGGAAUCCCUUGUAAACAUGCUCAAGAAUAGCGUGUUGAAUACGUCCCUGCCGUUUGUACACACCGCCCGUCGUUUCUUCCGACUGAUACUCAUUGUGAGUUGCAAGGACCCUUUAUCGGGAAAUUGCUGCAAAUGCUUUGUAUUGGAGGAAGAAAAAGUCGUAAC